AGCUCCCACCUGACUUGAAGUAAAUGUGAAGGUUACUCUGAUGGCUUACAAAGCCUUAAAUAAUCUGGUUCUCCACUUUCUCUGCCCUUCUCGCCUUAGCCACUGUGUGUUCCUGGAUAUGCUUCAAACACAUCAGAAUGAAAACUCCACAAGGACAGAAAUUUUUGUUCAUUUUCUUCACUGAUGCAUUCCAAGCAUGCAGAACAGUGCCUGGCACAUGUUGAAAUGGAUGAAAGAUCUCAAUGUGCGACAGGAAUCCAUCAAAAUCCUAGAGGAGAACACAGGCAAUAACCUCUUUGACAUCGGCCACAGCAACUUCUUUCAAGGUACAUCUCCAAAAGCUAGUGAAACAAAAGCAAAAAUGAACUUUUGGGACUUCAAGAUAAAAAGCUUCUGCACAGCAAAGGAAACAGUCAACAAAACAAGGAGGCAACCCACAGAAUGGGAGAAGAUAUUUGCAAAUGACACUACAGAUAAAG